AUGUUGCCUACCAGGGUAUUUAGCCUAGUUGGCAAGCGAGCAAUUUCCAAAUCGGCGUCUGUACGAGCACACGGAAAUGAUGUGAAGAGCGAUGACAAUGCGCUCCCAGCUUAUGUGGAUCGAUGUGACUAUCCCUUACCUGAUGUGGCUCAUGUCAAGCACCUGUCUGCCAGAUAGCAGGCCUUGAAGGAGGAGGAGAAGGCCUCCUGAAGCAACCUCUCCAUGGAUGAGAAAGUCGAGUUGUAUUGCAUUCAGUUCAAGGAGAGCUUUGCGGAGAUGAACAGGGGUGCGAACGAGUGGAAGACGGUUGUUGGCGCUGCCAUGUUCUUCAUUGGCUUCACGGCGUUGAUUAUCAUCUGGGAGAAGAGCUGUUUGUACGGCCCCAUCCCGCACAUCUUUGACAAAUAGUGGGUGGGCCAUGCAGACCAAGAGGGUGCUGGACAUGAGGUGAACCCCGUGCAGGGCUUUGCCGCCAAAUGGGACUAUGACAAGAACGAGUGGAAGAAGUGAGAGAUGCUGUCCUGCGUCUGUGCCUUGCUCUGUCACCACCAUGCAACUCCAUGCCUAUUUACUGGAAACCUGUUAUGCCAAACAGUACCACUGCUAAUAAAUGACCAGUUUACCUGAAAAAAAAAAAAAAA